rnacentral:rRNA from 1 species
GACGAACGCUGGCGGCGUGCUUAACACAUGCAAGUCGAACGGAAAGGCCCUGCUUUGGUGGGGUGGUCGAGUGGCGAACGGGGGAGUAACACGUGAGUAACCUGCCAUUGACUUUGGGAUAACUUCAGGACAGUGGGGCUAAUACCGGAAAGGAGCUCCUGCUGCAGGGUGGGGGUGGGAAAGUUUCGGCGGUUGGGGGUGGACUCGCGGCUUAUCAGGUUGUUGGGGGGGUAGUGGCAUACCAAGGCUUUGCAGGGUAGCAGGCCUGAUCGGGGGACCUGCCCCAUUGGGCCUGAGAUACGGCCCGGACCCGUACGGUAGGCAGCAGAGGAGAAUAGUGCACAGUGGGCGGAAGCCUGAUGCAGCCACGCCGCGUGCGGUAUGACGGCCUUCGGGUAGUAUACCGCUUUCGCCUUUGACGAAGCGUGAGUGACGGUAAUGGGUAAAGAAGCACCGGCUAACUACGUG